rnacentral:rRNA from 1 species
UACAGAGGGUGCGAGCGUUGUUCGGAAUCAUUGGGCGUAAAGCGCACGUAGGCGGUUCGUUAUGUCGGAUGUGAAAGCCCUUGGCUUAACCGAGGAAGUGCAUCCGAAACUGGCGAGCUAGAGUACGAAAGAGGAUCGCGGAAUUCCCGGUGUAGAGGUGAAAUUCGUAGAUAUCUGGAGGAACACCGGUGGCGAAGGCGGCAUCCUGGACCGGCAUUGACGCUGAGGAGCGAAAGCGUGGGGAGCGAACAGG